rnacentral:rRNA from 1 species
GAUGAACGCUGGCGGCGUGCUUAACACAUGCAAGUCGAACGGAGUAUUUAGGCGGAAGCCUUCGGGUGGAAGCUUAAAUACUUAGUGGCGGACGGGUGAGUAACGCGUGGGUAACCUGCCUUACACAGGGGGAUAACAGCUGGAAACGGCUGCUAAUACCGCAUAAGCGCACAGCUUCGCAUGGAGCCGUGUGAAAAGAUUUUAUCGGUGUAAGAUGGACCCGCGUCUGAUUAGCUGGUUGGUGGGGUAACGGCCUACCAAGGCAACGAUCAGUAGCCGGCUUGAGAGAGUGAACGGCCACAUUGGGACUGAGACACGGCCCAAACUCCUACGGGUGGCAG